rnacentral:misc_RNA from 1 species
GUAGGUGAACCUGCGGAAGGAUCAUUACCCUUUUUCACGGGGGGCCGGAUCCAAGGUUUGAUGCUUCGGUAUCUUGCCUUGCCCCGCCCUGUCUGAAUAAACCCAUGUCUUUUGCGUACUAUUUGUUUCCUUGGGGGGCUUGCCCCCCAAUAGGACAUUUAAAACCCAUUGUAAUUGCAAUCAGCGUCAGAAAAACAUAAUAAUUACAACUUUUAACAACGGAUCUCUUGGUUCUG